GAUGAACGCUGGCGGCGUGCCUAAUACAUGCAAGUCGAGCGAACGGACGAGAAGCUUGCUUCUCUGAUGUUAGCGUCGGACGGGUGAGUAACACGUUGAUAACCUACCUAUAAUACUGGUAUAACUUCGGGAAACCGGAGCUAAUACCGGAUGAUAUUUUGAACCGCAUUGUUCAAACGUGAAAGACGGUCUUGCUGUCACUUAUAGAUGUAUCCGCUCUGCAUUAGCUAGUUGGUAAGGUAACGGCUUACCAAGGCAACGAUGCAUAGCAGACCUGAGAGAGGGAUCGGCAACACGGGAAGUGAGAAAGGGUCAAGACGCCUACGGAAGGAAGCAGUAGGGAAACUUCCGCAAUGGGCGAAAACAUGACAGAGCAACGACGCGUGAGUGAUGAAGGUCAUAGGAGCGUAAAACUCUGUUAUUAGGGAAGAACAUAUGUGUAAGUAACAGUGCACAACUUGACGGUACCUAAUCAGAAAGCCACGGCUAACUACGUG
rnacentral:rRNA from 1 species